UUACCGUGGUGAUGAGAUGCAUAGCAGAUUGUCAUCACUCAAUGGCUGGAUGUCUAAGUGGUACCCGGAGAAUAACAUAGGUUUCAUAGACAAUUGGACAAGCUUUUGGGGCAGACCUGACCUGGUGAAAAGAGAUGGUCUUCAUCCCUCCUGGGGUGGUCCCGCUCUUCUCUCUAGAAAUAUAGCACAUAGUCUUAGAGUUUGUAUUUAACUAACUGGGGCCCAGGUCAGGAAGCAGACAGACUGGCUAAACCGACCAUCUGCUAGCCGCCUAACAUCACAGAAGUCAGUUAAUUCUCAGCACAUAGAGACUCUUACACCGAGAUAUCACACUAUAGAGAAUGUGUCUGUUCCCCAAACUAGAAAAUACAAAAAAUGUCUAAACCAAUUUAAGAGUAACAAUUUAAUUGAGGUUCAACAAAUAAAAAACAGAUGCAAAACUUAUAAACAAAUGAUGGAGCUUGGCUUAUUGAAUAUCAGGUCCCUUUCUACGAAAGCACUUUUUGUAAAUAAUAUGAUCACUGAUCAUAAUCUAGAUGUGCUCUGUUUGACAGAGACCUGGCUAAAACCUGAUGAUUACAUUAUUUUAAAUUAGUCUAUCCCCCAAGAUUCCUGUUAUAAACAUGAGCCACGUCCAAAAGGUAAAGGGGGAGGUGUUGCUUUAAUUUAUAACAAUGCUUUCAGAAUUUCCCAGAGGGCAGGCUUUAAGUAUAACUUGUUUGCAAUAAUGGUGCUUCAUAUAACAUUAUCAAGAGAAAUCAAUGCUGGAAGCGAGCCCCGCCGCCUCGCAGGGAACAUCAGCGGGCUCAGCUGCUUUGUGAAAUUCGAGGGAUAUCGGAGCAUAGAGGAUUACGCAAGGGACUUCGUGGGGAAAGCUCGGUUGUCAGCUACGGAGAAGACCUGCUUAAUGGUCUUCUUCUGGGGAGGACUAGCCGAGCCCUUCAAGUCCCUUAUGCCAUUCUGGCCCCCCGAGGAGAGGCUGGAGGAUUCCAUCGGCCAUAAGCGAGCCCUGCCUCCUCGCAGGGAACAUCAGUGGGAUCAGCCGCUUCGUGAAAGCUGGAAGCGAGCCCUACCGCCUCGCAGGGAACAUCCGCGGGCACCGCGGCUCUUUGAAGGCCAGAAGCGAGCCCCGCCGCCUCGCAGGGAACAACAGCGGGCACCGAUGCUCUUUGA